GCUCCAGGACAACAAUUUCAUCUCUAAUGGACAAAACAAUUACACAUACUAUUGCUCCCCAUGUUACAGUAUCCCCAUUAAUGCUGCAGAGAUGCACAAACAACAAUAUUUAGGACGUGAGACACAGACAGAGAAGACAUGGAAUGACGUGCAGAGCUGCAUGGCCGUCUGACAGGCAGAUACUGACAGAGACAGUCUCAUGAGCCGUUUGGUGGACAUCUUCCAGCAGCACGAGUGAAUGCAGCGCAUUCAGCAUGGGUGGGUACUGAACCACUGAAGCCUGUUAGUGCCAUGCUGGGAGCCAUCAAGCUGCAGAACCACUGACUGACAGACAGACAGACCGAUCACACGGACAGACGGACAGACAGACGGACAGACAGGCAGGGUGUCUGACGGCUGCACGGCUUCUCACGCCUUCGUGUUUUCCUGCCAGAUCAGCUUGACAGAAAAUCAAUGACGCUGCAAUCUGACGGAGACGCACAGUAACCGCUGAAAACGGCGAGGACGACGCGGCGAGGCUGAAGGUGCAAGGUUUGGCCUAAGAAUUCCUCAUUGGAGAAUCCACUCAGACUACUGGUUCCCACUCACUUGGAUGUUGGAUGCUGACAGCUUAUACAAGUAGCCAAAUAUCUUGGUAUUAUCCUGGACUCCACCUUAUCCUUCAA